rnacentral:rRNA from 1 species
UGGGGAAUAUUGGGCAAUGGGGGAAACCCUGACCCAGCAACGCCGCGUGAAGGAAGAAGGUUUUCGGAUCGUAAACUUCUAUCCUUGGUGAAGAUAAUGACGGUAGCCAGGAAGGAAGCCCCGGCUAACUACGUGCCAGCAGCCGCGGUAAUACGUAGGGGGCAAGCGUUGUCCGGAAUGAUUGGGCGUAAAGGGCGCGUAGGCGGCCUGGUAAGUCUGGAGUGAAAGUCCUGCUUUUAAGGUGGGAAUUGCUUUGGAUACUGUCGGGCUUGAGUGCAGGAGAGGUAAGCGGAAUUCCCGGUGUAGCGGUGAAAUGCGUAGAGAUCGGGAGGAACACCAGUGGCGAAGGCGGCUUACUGGACUGUAACUGACGCUGAGGCGCGAAAGUGUGGGGAGCAAACAG